rnacentral:rRNA from 1 species
UACAGAGGGGGCCAGCGUUAUUCGGAAUUAUUGGGCGUAAAGGGCGCGUAGGCGGCUUUGCGUGUCUUUCGUGAAAUCCCUCGGCUCAACUGAGGACGUGCGGAAGAAACUGCAGGGCUGGAGUCCGGGAGAGGAGGGUGGAAUUCCCAGUGUAGCGGUGAAAUGCGUAGAUAUCUGGAGGAAUACCGGUGGCGAAGGCGGCAUCCUGGACCAUAACUGACGCUGAGGCGCGAAAGCUAGGGGAGCAAACGGG